GUAAAGCACUUUCAGUCGUGAGGAAGGUAGUGUAGUUAAUAGCUGCAGUAUUUGACGUUAGCGACAGAAGAAGCACCGGCUAACUCCGUGCCAGCAGCCGCGGUAAUACGGAGGGUGCGAGCGUUAAUCGGAAUUACUGGGCGUAAAGCGCAUGCAGGUGGUUUGUUAAGUUCAGAUGUGAAAGACCCGGGGCGUCAACCUCGGAAUAGCAUUUGAAACUAGGCAGACUAGAGUACUGUAGAGGGGGGUAGGAAGUUUCAGGUGUAGCGGUGAAAUGCGUAGAGAUCUGAAGGAAUACCGGUGGCGAAGGCGGCCCCCUCGGACAGAUACUGACACUCAGAUGCGAAAGCGUGGGGAGCAAACAGGAUUAGAUACCCUGGUAG
rnacentral:rRNA from 1 species